rnacentral:rRNA from 1 species
GACGUAGGGCGUGAGCGUUGUCCGGAUUUAUUGGGCGUAAAGAGCUCGUAGGCGGCUUGUCGCGUCGUUCGUGAAAACCUGCAGCUCAACUGCAGGCUUGCGGUCGAUACGGGCAGGCUGGAGUUCGGUAGGGGAGACUGGAAUUCCUGGUGUAGCGGUGAAAUGCGCAGAUAUCAGGAGGAACACCGGUGGCGAAGGCAGGUCUCUGGGCCACUACUGACGCUGAGAAGCGAAAGCAUGGGGAGCGAACAGG